rnacentral:tRNA from 1 species
UGGGGUAUCGCCAAGCGGUAAGGCACCGGUUUGUGAUACCGGCAUUCCCUGGUUCGAAUCCAGGUACCCCAGCCA